rnacentral:piRNA from 1 species
UUGGAAAAGGGCAGGCCUUACUCUGG